rnacentral:rRNA from 1 species
CACAGAUGGGAGCUUGCUCCCUGAUGUUUGGGGCGGACGGGUGAGUAACACGUGGGUAACCUGCCUGUAAGACUGGGAUAACUCCGGGAAACCGGGGCAAAUACCGGAUGGUUGUUUGAACCGCAUGGUUCAAACAUAAAAGGUGGCUUCGGCUACCACUUACAGAUGGACCCGCGGCGCAAUAGCUAGUUGGUGAGGUAACGGCUCACCAAGGCAACGAUGCGUAGCCGACCUGAGAGGGUGAUCGGCCACACUGGGACUGAGACACGGCCCAGACACCUACGGGAGGCAGCAGUAGGGAAUCUUCCGCAAUGGACGAAAGUCUGACGGAGCAACGCCGCGUGAGUGAUGAAGGUUUUCGGAUCGUAAAGCUCUGUUGUUAGGGAAGAACAAGUACCGUUCGAAUAGGGCGGUACCUUGACGGUACCUAACCAGAAAGCCACGGCUAACUACGUGCCAGCAGCCGCGGUAAUACGUAGGUGGCAAGCGUUGUCCGGAAUUAUUGGGCGUAAAGGGCUCGCAGGCGGUUUCUUAAGUCUGAUGUGAAAGCCCCCGGCUCAACCGGGGAGGGUCAUUGGAAACUGGGGAACUUGAGUGCAGAAGAGGAGAGUGGAAUUCCACGUGUAGCGUGGAAAUGCGUAGAGAUGUGGAGGAACACCAGUGGCG